rnacentral:tRNA from 1 species
GGGGAUUUAGCUUAGUGGUAUAAGUGCAUACUUGGCAAGCGUGAGGUCAUGAGUUCAAUCCCCG